AACUUAUCUCUUGCUAGUCCUCAAGCAAGAACUAAGAGACCAUUUUGAGAAAGAGGUUUGAAAGCGGGGAUUUAUUACCACAAAAUAUCAAAUAAAGGAUUCAAAUCAAAGUCCUUAUAGAUAGUUCAAAGUUGCUUAAAUCAAUCAACAUACUCUUUCGUACUUCUCCAUACUCAUUUUAAUGCAUGAUUCUAUUCAAUCUCUAACUAUU
rnacentral:lncRNA from 1 species